GGACUAGCAAUAGUCCCAAAAGUGGCGAACGGGUGAGUAACACGUAGGUAACCUGCCGCGCAGAGGGGGAUAACGACUGGAAACGGUCGCUAACACCGCAUGGUACUGUGAUAAGGGGACUUAACACAGUUAAAACUAUUGUGCUGCGCGAGGGGCCUGCGUCCGAUUAGUUAGUUGGUGAGGUAACGGCUCACCAAGACGAUGAUCGGUAGCUGGUCUGAGAGGAUGAUCAGUCACACGGGAACUGAGACACGGUCCCGACUCCUACGGGGGGCAGCAGUGAGGAAUAUUGCACAAUGGACGCAAGUCUGAUGCAGCAACGCCGCGUGGAGGAUGAAGGUCUUUGGA
rnacentral:rRNA from 1 species